GGACAGGUGGCCGAGUGGUUUAAGGUACCGCACUCGAAAUGCGGCGAGGGUGAAAGCCCUCCGUGAGUUCGAAUCUCACCCUGUCCGCCA
rnacentral:tRNA from 1 species